CCUACGGGUGGCAGCAGUGGGGAAUAUUGCACAAUGGGGGAAACCCUGAUGCAGCGACGCCGCGUGAGUGAAGAAGUAUUUCGGUACGUAAAGCUCUAUCAGCAGGGAAGAAAAUGACGGUACCUGACUAAGAAGCCCCGGCUAACUACGUGCCAGCAGCCGCGGUAAUACGUAGGGGGCAAGCGUUAUCCGGAUUUACGGGGUGUAAAGGGAGCGGAGACGGCAGCGCAAGUCUGGAGUGAAAUCCCAUGGCUUAACCAUGGAACUGCUUUGGAAACUGGGCAGCUAGAGUGCAGGAGAGGUAAGCGGAAUGCCUAGUGUAGCGGUGAAAUGCGUAGAUAUUAGGAGGAACACCAGUGGCGAAGGCGGCUUACUGGACUGUAACUGACGUUGAGGCUCGAAAGCGUGGGGAGCAAACAGGAUUAGAUACCCGGGUAGUC
rnacentral:rRNA from 1 species